rnacentral:rRNA from 1 species
UACGGAGGGAGCUAGCGUUAUUCGGGAUUACUGGGCGUAAAGCGUACGUAGGCGGUUAUUCAAGUCAGAGGUGAAAGCCCGGGGCUCAACCCCGGAACUGCCUUUGAAACUAGGUAGCUAGAAUCUUGGAGAGGUCAGUGGAAUUCCGAGUGUAGAGGUGAAAUUCGUAGAUAUUCGGAAGAACACCAGUGGCGAAGGCGACUGACUGGACAAGUAUUGACGCUGAGGUACGAAAGCGUGGGGAGCAAACAGG